rnacentral:rRNA from 1 species
UACGAAGGGGGCUAGCGUUGCUCGGAUUGACUGGGCGUAAAGGGCGCGUGGGCGGAUAGUACAGUCAGGCGUGAAAUUCCUGGGCUCAACCUGGGGGCUGCGUUUGAUACGUAUUGUCUGGAGUUCGGAAGAGGGUCGUGGAAUUCCCAGUGUAGAGGUGAAAUUCGUAGAUAUUGGGAAGAACACCGGUGGCGAAGGCGGCGACCUGGUCCGAUACUGACGCUGAGGCGCGAAAGCGUGGGGAGCAAACAGG